rnacentral:tRNA from 9 species
GCCGGGGUAGCUCAGCCUGGUUAGAGUGCCAGACUCAUAAUCUGGAGGUCGCGAGUUCGAAACUCGCCCCCGGCA